CCUACGGGUGGCAGCAGUGGGGAAUAUUGCUCAAUGGGGGGAACCCUGAUGCAGCAACGCCGCGUGGAUGAUGAAGUACUUCGGUUUGUAAAGCCCUUUUGGUAGGGAAGAAAAUGACGGUACCUGACGAAUAAGCCCCGGCUAACUCCGUGCCAGCAGCCGCGGUAAUACGGAGGGGGCAAGCGUUAUCCGGAUUGACUGGGCGUAAAGCGCGCGUAGACGGGAUGGCAAGUCUGGAGUGAAAGCCCGUGGCGUAACCAUGGGACUGCGUUGGAAACUGUUGUGCUGGAGUGCGGGAGGGGUAGGCGGAAUUCGGGGUGUAGCGGUGAAAUGCGUAGAUAUGAAGAGGAACACCGAUGGCGAAGGCGGCUUGCUGGACCGUAACUGACGUUGAGGCGCGAAAGCGUGGGGAGCAAACAGGAUUAGAUACCCGAGUAGUC
rnacentral:rRNA from 1 species